rnacentral:siRNA from 1 species
GGUAUAGCCUUACUUAAUAACA